rnacentral:misc_RNA from 1 species
GUGAAUCUUCAAAUUUUUGAACGCAAAUUGCACUCCUUGGUAUUCCGGGUAGUAUGCCUUUUUGAUGUUCGUUAGAACAAAAAUCGAAGCGUCGCUCUUUUUUUUAAGGGUGAUCGCGUCUGAAUUGAUCCGUCUUUCAAAUGUUAAUUCAUGUCAAAGUUGCUUGCAAUUCAUCCAUCCGGUACUAUUAAAGCGUAUUUAAGAUCAAUUUUGAUUAAGAACGCGCGAUUAACGUACCAUCUCAUGUAGUACGUUUGACUUGACGUCUUCAGGAUCAUUCUUAUACGUUACUCAAACUUUU